CAAGUCGAGGGGCAGCAUUUUAGUUUGCUUGCAAACUAAAGAUGGCGACCGGCGCACGGGUGAGUAACACGUAUCCAACCUGCCGAUAACUCGGGGAUAGCCUUUCGAAAGAAAGAUUAAUAUCCGAUAGUAUAUUAAAACCGCAUGGUUUUACUAUUAAAGAAUUUCGGUUAUCGAUGGGGAUGCGUUCCAUUAGUUUGUUGGCGGGGUAACGGCCCACCAAGACUACGAUGGAUAGGGGUUCUGAGAGGAAGGUCCCCCACAUUGGAACUGAGACACGGUCCAAACUCCUACGGGAGGCAGCAGUGAGGAAUAUUGGUCAAUGGACGAGAGUCUGAACCAGCCAAGUAGCGUGAAGGAUGACUGCCCUAUGGGUUGUAAACUUCUUUUAUAUGGGAAUAAAGUAUUCCACGUGUGGAAUUUUGUAUGUACCAUAUGAAUAAGGAUCGGCUAACUCCGUGCCAGCAGCCCGCGGUAUACGGAGGAUCCCGAGCGUUAUC
rnacentral:rRNA from 1 species